UACGGAGGGUGCAAGCGUUAUCCGGAUUCACUGGGUUUAAAGGGUGCGUAGGUGGGUAGGUAAGUCAGUGGUGAAAUCUCCAAGCUCAACUUGGAAACUGCCGUUGAUACUAUUUAUCUUGAAUAUAGUGGAGGUGAGCGGAAUAUGUCAUGUAGCGGUGAAAUGCUUAGAUAUGACAUAGAACAUCGAUUGCGAAGGCAGCUCGCUACACUACUAUUGACACUGAGGCACGAAAGCGUGGGGAUCAAACAGG
rnacentral:rRNA from 1 species